rnacentral:rRNA from 1 species
GAUGAACGCUGGCGGCGUGCCUAAUACAUGCAAGUCGAGCGAACAGACGAGGAGCUUGCUCCUCUGACGUUAGCGGCGGACGGGUGAGUAACACGUGGAUAACCUACCUAUAAGACUGGGAUAACUUCGGGAAACCGGAGCUAAUACCGGAUAAUAUAUUGAACCGCAUGGUUCAAUAGUGAAAGACGGUUUUGCUGUCACUUAUAGAUGGAUCCGCGCCGCAUUAGCUAGUUGGUAAGGUAACGGCUUACCAAGGCAACGAUGCGUAGCCGACCUGAGAGGCGGAUCACCCACAAUGGAACUGGAGCACGGUCCAGACUCCGACGGGAGGCAGCAGUGGGGAAUGUUGGACAAUGGGCGCAAGGCUGAUCCAGCCAUACCGGGUGGGUGAAGAAGGCCUUGGGGUUGUAAAGCCCUUUUGUUGGGAAAGAAAAGCAGCAGGUGAAGACCCAGCUGGUAUGACGGUACCCAAAGAAUAAGCACCGGCUAACUUCGUG